UGAUGGUCACAUCAACUGGAUCAGUGAUUUAUUAUCAGCUAUAUGUAUGACCAAUCACCCGAUUGAUUUUGCUUAAGAAAUGUAGGGGCCUGACAUAAAUUCUGCUUUUGACUAACAAGGAACAGGAUGCAUUACUUGCCUCAAAUUAAU